GAUGAACGCUGGCGGUGUGCCUAAUACAUGCAAGUCGAGCGAACAGACGAGGAGCUUACUCCUCUGACGUUAGCGGCGGACGGGUGAGUAACACGUGGAUAACCUACCUAUAAGACUGGGAUAACUUCGGGAAACCGGAGCUAAUACCGGAUAACAUGUUGAACCGCAUGGUUCAACAGUGAAAGACGGUCUUGCUGUCACUUAUAGAUGGAUCCGCGCCGCAUUAGCUAGUUGGUAAGGUAACGGCUUACCAAGGCAACGAUGCGUAGCCGACCUGAGAGGGUGAUCGGCCACACUGGAACUGAGACACGGUCCAGACUCCUACGGGAGGCAGCAGUAGGGAAUCUUCCGCAAUGGGCGAAAGCCUGACGGAGCAACGCCGCGUGAGUGAAGAAGGUCUUCGGAUCGUAAAACUCUGUUAUUAGGGAAGAGCAAAUGUGUAAGUAACUAUGCACGUCUUGACGGUACCUAAUCAGAAAGCCACGGCUAACUACGUG
rnacentral:rRNA from 1 species